rnacentral:rRNA from 1 species
CGAAUGCUGACAUAAGUAACGAUAAAGCGGGUGAAAAGCCCGCUCGCCGGAAGACCAAGGGUUCCUGUCCAACGUUAAUCGGGGCAGGGUGAGUCGACCCCUAAGGCGAGGCCGAAAGGCGUAGUCGAUGGGAAACAGGUUAAUAUUCCUGUACUUGGUGUUACUGCGAAGGGGGGACGGAGAAGGCUAUGUUGGCCGGGCGACGGUUGUCCCGGUUUAAGCGUGUAGGCUGGUUUUCCAGGCAAAUCCGGAAAAUCAAGGCUGAGGCGUGAUGACGAGGCACUACGGUGCUGAAGCAACAAAUGCCCUGCUUCCAGGAAAAGCCUCUAAGCAUCAGGUAACAUCAAAUCGUACCCCAAACCGACACAGGUGGUCAGGUAGAGAAUACCAAGGCGCUUGAGAGAACUCGGGUGAAGGAACUAGGCAAAAUGGUGCCGUAACUUCGGGAGAAGGCACGCUGAUAUGUAGGUGAAGUCCCUUGCGGAUGGAGCUGAAAUCAGUCGAAGAUACCAGCUGGCUGCAACUGUUUAUUAAAAACACAGCACUGUGCAAACACGAAAGUGGACGUAUACGGUGUGACGCCUGCCCGGUGCCGGAAGGUUAAUUGAUGGGGUUAGCGGUAACGCGAAGCUCUUGAUCGAAGCCCCGGUAAACGGCGGCCGUAACUAUAACGGUCCUAAGGUAGCGAAAUUCCUUGUCGGGUAAGUUCCGACCUGCACGAAUGGCGUAAUGAUGGCCAGGCUGUCUCCACCCGAGACUCAGUGAAAUUGAACUCGCUGUGAAGAUGCAGUGUACCCGCGGCAAGACGGAAAGACCCCGUGAACCUUUACUAUAGCUUGACACUGAACAUUGAGCCUUGAUGUGUAGGAUAGGUGGGAGGCUUUGAAGUGUGGACGCCAGUCUGCAUGGAGCCGACCUUGAAAUACCACCCUUUAAUGUUUGAUGUUCUAACGUUGACCCGUAAUCCGGGUUGCGGACAGUGUCUGGUGGGUAGUUUGACUGGGGCGGUCUCCUCCUAAAGAGUAACGGAGGAGCACGAAGGUUGGCUAAUCCUGGUCGGACAUCAGGAGGUUAGUGCAAUGGCAUAAGCCAGCUUGACUGCGAGCGUGACGGCGCGAGCAGGUGCGAAAGCAGGUCAUAGUGAUCCGGUGGUUCUGAAUGGAAGGGCCAUCGCUCAACGGAUAAAAGGUACUCCGGGGAUAACAGGCUGAUACCGCCCAAGAGUUCAUAUCGACGGCGGUGUUUGGCACCUCGAUGUCGGCUCAUCACAUCCUGGGGCUGAAGUAGGUCCCAAGGGUAUGGCUGUUCGCCAUUUAAAGUGGUACGCGAGCUGGGUUUAGAACGUCGUGAGACAGUUCGGUCCCUAUCUGCCGUGGGCGCUGGAGAACUGAGGGGGGCUGCUCCUAGUACGAGAGGACCGGAGUGGACGCAUCACUGGUGUUCGGGUUGUCAUGCCAAUGGCACUGCCCGGUAGCUAAAUGCGGAAGAGAUAAGUGCUGAAAGCAUCUAAGCACGAAACUUGCCCCGAGAUGAGUUCUCCCUGACUCCUUGAGAGUCCUGAAGGAACGUUGAAGACGACGACGUUGAUAGGCCGGGUGUGUAAGCGCAGCGAUGCGUUGAGCUAACCGGUACUAAUGAACCGUGAG